GAUGAACGCUGGCGGCGUGCCUAAUACAUGCAAGUCGAGCGAACAGACGAGGAGCUUGCUCCUCUGACGUUAGCGGCGGACGGGUGAGUAACACGUGGAUAACCUACCUAUAAGACUGGGAUAACUUCGGGAAACCGGAGCUAAUACCGGAUAAUAUAUUGAACCGCAUGGUUCAAUAGUGAAAGACGGUUUUGCUGUCACUUAUAGAUGGAUCCGCGCCGCAUUAGCUAGUUGGUAAGGUAACGGCUUACCAAGGCAACGAUGCGUAGCCGACCUGAGAGGGUGAUCGGCCACACUGGAACUGGGACAGGGUCCAGACUCCUACGGGAGGCAGCAGUAGGGAAUCUUCCGCAAUGGGCGAAAGCCUGACGGAGCAACGCCGCGUGAGUGAUGAAGGUCUUCGGAUCGUAAAACUCUGUUAUUAGGGAAGAACAAAUGUGUAAGUAACUAUGCACGUCUUGACGGUACCUAAUCAGAAAGCCACGGCUAACUACGUG
rnacentral:rRNA from 1 species